UUCGUUCUCGGCCUGGAGCAGCAGCUGCUGCUGUUUGCUAAUGUCGUGAACUCACACACACACACUCUCUCUGCGCUUGGUUUCAUUCUCACUUUUGUUCGGUUGAGUGACACGGGUCUUUCCCGCCUCCCUUUCUCCCUUAUGGUCGCAAUAAUAGCAAUUUUCUGCGAGUUUUAAUUCAGAUUUUUAUCUUUUUGGAGGGGAGGUGGGGAGCUUUCUCCUGGCUUUUUCCGGAAUCUUCACUUCGUGAUUCACCAGUGGCGCUAAUGAAGAUUUUAUUUUAAUUAUUCACGUUUCUCUUUUUUUUUUCUUCUUCUUCCUUUUUUAUUUUAACCUCUCCACUUUUCCUUUCUUAUUUUUUGAAAUCUUGUAGUUUUCGGCUGACCGCUAGAUGUCAGUAGCUAUUAGGAGCCAUUUAUUAUUUCCGCCAUCUAGCGGACGACAAAUGCGAAAAUUCAAUUUUAGUAGAGAAAUUGGUCGAUAGAUGGCGCCACUGUUGAGCGCUGAAAAAAUGCGGGAGAAGACGAUUCACGUUUUUAUUUUGUUUAGUGACGUGAGUAAGAAAACUUUUGUGUGUAGGUCGAUGGGGUCGGACGAGGGGGGUCGGGACUGUUCUUUCAUCCGUGAGGAGAGAUAACAAAAAGAAACGAAAAUAUAUAAAAACGAACGGUGCAACACCGCAAGGGUCUCUGAUAUGCCGUGUCGGUUCAAAGUUCGUUUUCCCUCGGAGCCGAGGACCCCGAACGACGAACAAUCGAAUCGAAUGUCGGUCGUCUUCGUCUUCUUUUCCUUAUUUUUUUCCUCGGGUUUGAACUUUUGUUUUGUCGUGGGUUUUUUUCUUCUUCUUUCUUCCCUGACUUUAUUUGACAGAACUUUUUCGUCUUUGUACCGUUGCCUUUUUUUAUUUUUACAGUCUAAAUCGGGAAUGUUUCAACUCGAAUUUCUUUCCAAUGACGAAAACAGUUUAGAAAUUAGAAAAACAAAAUUUUAUAUUUUUUUUUACCUUCACGCCUUCAGGGUGGGCCAAUUUUUAUAUUUUUAUUUUUUCGUUUUUGUGGAAAAUAAACCGCCACUUCCCCUCCGCCACUUCCGUAACGCCAAAAAAUCCCCACAAAAAAUCAUGUCCGUUUUUCUGUUCUUUUCUUUUUAUUUUUUUCAGUGUUAUGUGUGUACGGUGUAGGUCAUUACGUCCAAUCAUUGCACGGAUAGUUAUUAUAGUUUUAGAGAAAGCCCCGACCACCGACCGCGAAAUGUAGAGAGAUACACAUAUCUGAACAAUAGAUAUUAUUGGCAUAUUUCCUUCAAGUCCUCUAGAAUCGAAUCGAUGCGGUUCGUGGUCGAACCCAACCAAAUUCGACAAACAAGAAAAAAAUGAAAAAGAAAAAAUCUGAUGAAAUUAGGUCAGGCGCCGGUGCUUUGCCCUUCCUGUCUGAAUAAAUAAAAAAAAGAAAAAGAACAGAAAAAAGUUCUUCGUGAGUUCGUCACACGUCCAUUCAGAGAGUCCGUGUCAAAUAAUUCAAAGUAUAUUAACUAGCUCACCAAAACGAAACCUUGACAUUUUUUUGACUGGUUGUUUUUCCUUAUUUAUUGACAGUUGUUUUUGUGUUUGAUUUGAAAAGUCAUCGAAAUGGCAGCAAUCAAUGGCAUCACAAAGCUGCCACACACACACAGGGGGACGACGAAUGUCUGGCCUGGAAAAAAAAAGAAUGCAAUUCCCCCCCGGAGGCAUCUCACCUGACCCAAAAACUUUUGUGUGAACAACCGAGUGGCCAUCAGCUCCGGUUCGUCCGGUUCUUGUUAGAAAGAAGAAGAAGGUGAACAACAACUGCUGCUGCUGCUACCAUUAUUGUAACACACGUUAACCCAGUUCCAUCCUUCUCUCCUCAACAUUCAUCUGCGUCGUCUCUCCACUUUUUUGAGCCGACCAGGAGAUCCGCGAGAAAGCUGACACCGUGUGCAACUGUGCAGCCGCCCUGGAUUUCGCCUGUCCAUUUCUUGCUGUUGUUUGGCGCAUUGUCUGUCACGCCGGACAACAUUUUCUUCUUCUUCGUGACGUCAAACCUUUUUUUUGGGGGGGGGGGGGAGGGGGGAGAUUGGAAAAUAGAAAAGAAGCAGACCGUGUCGUUUGGCGUCCGAUACAACAACAACAGCUGGUCUUAAUAGUAUAGUCAUAUGGAAGCUGAGAGAUGUGAUGAUGAGCAAACAAACGUGUGUGUCCAUUGGGUAAAGAAAAAAAAACUAACGUGAAUGUAAGUCGACUAACUGGCGAUCCACCGCUGUAAAUAUAUAACACACAGGUAAAAUGGCAGUAGCAGCAGCAGCAGAGCGAUAGAUGUGUAUGUAUUAUGUACAUUUUUUCCCCCCAGCAAAUGAACCGCUAUAUUUCAUAUCUCUGGCUAAGAAAAAAAAACCUACACUCACCGUUCACUUGGGCCCAGGUAUGUACGGUGAAUCGUGGUCAAUUUUUAUUUUUGAGCUUUUUUUAUUCUUAACCGCGAAAAAAAAUAUUUUCACAGUCUGGAAAGAAUGCGCUUCUUUUAUUAUAUUACAUGGCGAAAAAAGAUAAAGAAGAAGAAGAAGAAAAAAUUGACCAUCAAUUUUCAUCUGUAACACACAGGCAACAGGUGCGCGCCCUAAAUUGGAAUUUUUUUUUUCUGAAUCAAGAAAAAUAAUUAUUAUUUCGAUUCAAUUAGCUCGUAAAUCACAUUUGCCUCGGGGGGCUGAAAAACAAAAAUUCUAUUUAUAGUUAAAAAUUGUUUUUUUUUUUUUGGAGAAAUUUACUUUUUUUAAUGGGAAGCGGAAACGUUUUGCUCGGAAAUAAAUCUAUAAUCAUUCUUUAGCUGCUCGUUAUUUUCUUUCUUUUUUUUUUAAAGAGAUCAAUUUAAAGGGAAAAAAAUCAGACCGUACUUUUCACCUGGACAAACAACCGCUACAGCACAUUCCGUACGGUCAUUUCUUUUAGAACGAAAAAAAUAAAAUAAAAUAAAAAUUGGAACAUUCGGAACACGCAACAGGUGAGAGCUCCGUUGUGGGUCGAAAGGAAAAGUCGGACCUGGGCCUUUUUUCAAAUAAAUUGUGGAUACUCGCACACAUAACCGAGUAACACUUUUUUUUUUGCGUUUAAAGAUGAACAACAUUUGACGUCAUCCGUCGUCCCCCUUUUUUUUCGUUUCGUUCGUUCGUUGGUAAUCUUUUUUUCCAACCAAAAUUUCGGCCAUUGGUUCCGCCGGGGAAAUAAAUGUUUGUGUAGAUUUUGUGACCUCAAAUUUUAUUUUUAUUUAUUUGAAAGAUCCUCCUCCCAAAAAAUGACGAAAGUCAAUUUUGAAAAAACAACGACGAAAAUGAAUAAGGAAAUGAUUGGUGAAACAGGUGUUUCGCCAUGUAUGGCGGAAGUGACAUAAUGUCGAGGUCAUUGUCCAGACGAAUUCCACGACGGAAUUCAUCCCCUUCCCAUAUAUCUCCCACACACACACACACAGGCAGACAGACAGACGUAAAUUUUU